rnacentral:rRNA from 1 species
UACGUAGGGUGCGAGCGUUAAUCGGAAUUACUGGGCGUAAAGGGUGCGCAGGCGGUUAUAUAAGACAGAUGUGAAAUCCCCGGGCUCAACCUGGGAACUGCGUUUGUGACUGUAUGACUAGAGUACGGUAGAGAGGGGUGGAAUUCCUGGUGUAGCAGUGAAAUGCGUAGAUAUCAGGAGGAACAUCGAUGGCGAAGGCAGCCCCUUGGACCUGUACUGACGCUCAUGCACGAAAGCGUGGGGAGCAAACCGG